rnacentral:lncRNA from 1 species
GGGUGUAAACGGUCUCGGUUAGGUGGGUUGGAGGCAGCAAUCUUCAGCUAACCUCUCCGAACGACGGCAUCGUCGGCUGCGGAUUCCUUCUCGUGCUGCCGGUUAGGUGAUGUUGGAUAAGCUUGCGGGUCCGAGAUUGCGAUUCCUUUGCAGUGGUUUUGAUGUGUGGGUGGCUUGGAAGCUGUAGGCGCUGUGUGUUUCAAGGUUUGAGGUCGCCUUUCUCUCCAGUUUGCUCGUGGCAACUACGUCCCCAUUCCGCUCUUGCUUCUCCUCGGGUCCUUCACUGUUUCGCUGGAGCUCGGCUCAGAACUUGGUUUUCUGUUCUUCUUGUUUAGGUCAUUGUUGUUGUUAGAUGUUCUGUUUAGGUUUCAUUAUUGCAUGCUGCUACUAGUUUCUCUCUGUACCUUCUGUAAAAAAUUUGAAAAGCUUGGUAUAAUAUUUUAACAUUUUACCAAAAAAAAAAAAA